rnacentral:rRNA from 1 species
CCUACGGGAGGCAGCAGUGGGGAAGUCUUGCGCAAUGGGCGAAAGCCUGACGCAGCCAUGCCGCGUGAAUGAUGAAGGUCUUAGGAUUGUAAAAUUCUUUCAGUAGGGACGAUAAUGACGGUACCUACAGAAGAAGCCCCGGCUAACUUCGUGCCAGCAGCCGCGGUAAUACGAAGGGGGCUAGCGUUGCUCGGAAUUACUGGGCGUAAAGGGAGCGUAGGCGGGUUAUCAAGUUGGAGGUGAAAGCCCAGGGCUCAACCUUGGAAUUGCCUUCAAAACUGAUAGCCUAGAGUAUGAUAGAGGUAUGUGGAACUCCGAGUGUAGAGGUGAAAUUCGUAGAUAUUCGGAAGAACACCAGUGGCGAAGGCGACAUACUGGGUCAUGACUGACGCUGAGGCUCGAAAGCGUGGGGAGCAAACAGGAUUAGAUACCCUGGUAGUCCACGCUGUAAACGAUGAUUGNUAGUGUCGGUACGGCGAUGUCGUCGGUCGUCGCG